CUUACCUUAAUAGUAAGAGUGACGGGCGAUGUGUGCAUAUUUUAGAGCUAAAAUCAAAAUUAUAAUCUUUUAAUUUUUACUAUCAAAUCCACCUUCAUUAGUAUAUAUAAAAACUAAAUCCGUUUAAAUAAAUUUAUUGUAACCCAUCUCUUCUUAAAUAUAAGCUACACCUUGAUCUGAUAUAAAUUCUAAAUUAAAUUAUUGAAAAUUAUUAUUCUAAUAAAAUAUUCUGAUAACGACGGUAUAUAAACUGAAAAACAAAUUUAAGUGAGGUACAUCGUGGAUUAUCAAUUACAGGACAGGUUCCUCUGAAUAGACUAAAAUACCGCCAAAUUUUUUAAGUUUCAAGAACAUAACUAAUACUACCUAAGUGCUUAUUUUUACAUUUUAAAUAAUA
rnacentral:rRNA from 1 species